rnacentral:rRNA from 1 species
GACGAACGCUGGCGGCGUGCUUAACACAUGCAAGUCGAACGGAAAGGCCCUGCUUUUGUGGGGUGCUCGAGUGGCGAACGGGUGAGUAACACGUGAGUAACCUGCCCUUGACUUUGGGAUAACUUCAGGAAACUGGGGCUAAUACCGGAUAGGAGCUCCUGCUGCAUGGUGGGGGUUGGAAAGUUUCGGCGGUUGGGGAUGGACUCGCGGCUUAUCAGCUUGUUGGUGGGGUAGUGGCUUACCAAGGCUUUGAAGGGUAGCCGGCCUGGGAGGGUGACCGGCCACAUUGGGCCUGAGAUACGGCCCAGACUCCUACGGGAGGCAGCAGUGGGGAAUAUUGCACAAUGGGCGGAAGCCUGAUGCAGCAACGCCGCGUGCGGGAUGACGGCCUUCGGGUUGUAAACCGCUUUCGCCUGUGACGAAGCGUGAGUGACGGUAAUGGGUAAAGAAGCACCGGCUAACUACGUG